rnacentral:rRNA from 1 species
CACUGCCCGUCAAGCCACGAAAGCGGGGAGCGCUCGAAGUCGCUAUGUCCAACCGCAAGGAGGACGGCGCCGAAAGCGAGACUCGUGAUUGGGACU